GUUGUUGCUGCUGUUAAUUGUUGUUGGAACUAGAGUAUUUUGAUUUAAACCUUUCUAGUGAUACAGUAUCCCCAGCAACCCUUGACGCUGGACAGGAGAACAGGAACACAGACGGGAACCAGAGUCUCAGGGACAGGUGCCAGGAACAGGAGUAAAACAGAAACAAGAUCUCAGGAACUUUGGUGACAGUAGAACGUCGGGCCUCCAAUAUACAGUCACACAGUGAGAGAUCGACCCCGCUCCGGAGGGCUUACCGUUUAAUAGACAAGACAGAUGAAGGCAGGGAAAAGGAGCAGAAGCACAGAGAACAGAAGUGACUUGCCCGUUUGUGCAGCAUGUUAACGGAAUAGUUGGGAAUAGGACC